rnacentral:rRNA from 1 species
GACGUAGGGCGCGAGCGUUGUCCGGAUUUAUUGGGCGUAAAGAGCUCGUAGGCGGCUCAGUAAGUCGGGUGUGAAAACUUUGGGCUUAACCCAAAGCGUGCAUCCGAUACUGCUGUGACUUGAGUUCGGUAGGGGAGUGGGGAAUUCCUAGUGUAGCGGUGAAAUGCGCAGAUAUUAGGAGGAACACCGGUGGCGAAGGCGCCACUCUGGGCCGAAACUGACGCUGAGGAGCGAAAGCAUGGGUAGCAAACAGG